GACUAGAGUUUGAUCCUGGCUCAGAGUGAACGCUGGCGGCGUGCCUAAUACAUGCAAGUCGAACGGAAUUUAAAAGAGCUUGCUCUUUUAAAUUUAGUGGCGCACGGGUGAGUAAUAUAUAGCUAAUCUGCCCCUUGCUGGAGGACAACAGUUAGAAAUGACUGCUAAUACUCCAUACUCCUUUUUACCAUAAGAUAAAUCGGGAAAGAAUUUCGGCAAGGGAUGAGACUAUAUCGUAUCAGCUAGUCGGUGGGGUAACGGCCUACCGAGGCUAUGACGCGUAACUGGUCUGAGAGGAUGAUCAGUCACAUUGGAACUGAGACACGGUCCAAACUCCUACGGGAGGCAGCAGUAGGGAAUAUUGCGCAAUGGGGGAAACCCUGACGCAGCAACGCCGCGUGGAGGAUGACACUUUUCGGAGCGUAAACUCCUUUUGUUAGGGAAGAAUAAUGACGGUACCUAACGAAUAAGCACCGGCUAACUCC
rnacentral:rRNA from 1 species